UCAGUCCAGUCCAGUAGGCACUGGUGUAACACAGUAGCUUGUUGGUUUGAGUGACAGAGAGACCCCAUCAUGGACCCUGCUGGCCUCAGAGAUAGCAGUUCACCAGACUUAUCUCCCCCUCCCACAGCACCCUCUGGUAGGACUCUGUGGUAGGUUCCACUGACUUAAAGCAACAGUUGUUUGUUUGUUGAUUAUAAAAAGACUUAGUCGAGGUUAUAACCUAUUUAAACAUAUUUGACAAACAGAAAAUCUGCAUCAUGAUAUUCAUAACAUUUUUGAUGUACAAUAUUAAUGUUUGUAAUUAAUGUUAAAUUGUACUUCAUGUGGUUUGUCAGUUAAAAAACAAAAAACAAUUGCUGUUUAUAGGCAUGUAGUAAUGAUGUGGUUAAUGUGAUCCAAAAAGACAAUGUUAUGUUUUACAACAUGCCACAAUGUUUAUCAUUCAGCAGGUUCGUUAGGCCAAAUAUAGCUGUUAUCAGCCACAGCGGCAUGAUCAUGCCAGAGUGAGCACUAAGCAUAUCGCCAACACAUGUGAAGUGUAACUGAAUGUGUCAGCGGAUGACAGAUGAAGCCACCAAACCGCCAGCUGCAGAAAGAUCAUUGAGAAAAGGAGACAUUUCUCAGAGUGACCUCAGCUUACCCACUCACUGCAUCCUCUCAAUCCUGGUUAUCAAGUCCUCCCAGUGUCAACAUGAUCCACGAGACGGAAAUAAGAAAGGGCAACAAAAGAAGAUGGGAGUAAAGAGGUAGAGUGACUGGUGAAGUGAGGAGCACGACGGACUCUCAGAGAGGAUGGACAAGAAAAACAGAACAAUGAUCGUGGUUUUUCUGUUCUGUGUGAUUGCAGAUAUGUUAGCAGAAGGUCAGGCUCUGGAUGUGUGUGCCACCUGCCACGCUAACGCCACAUGUGAAGACAAGUCAGACGGCUCUGGCAAAGUUUGUAACUGCAAGUAUGGGUUUGUUGGAAAUGGGAGAACCUACUGUCAAGAUAAAGAUGAGUGUCAGAUAGGAUCCAGCAAGAUCUGCGGGCAACACACUACUUGCCACAACACAUAUGGCAGCUACUACUGCACCUGCCUGGCUGGAUACAGACCUUCUAACAACAUGGCCUUCUUCAUACCAAAUGAUGGAACACACUGCCAGGACACUGAUGAGUGCAGCAUCACAGGCAUAUGUGGAGACGGAGGUCAAUGCAGGAAUCUUGAGGGCAGUUUUGACUGCAGCUGCCAGCUGGGUUACCAAGUCCAAAACGGAACAGAGCCCUUUCACCCUCACCACGGCAAAGCUUCCUGCAAAGUGGUUGACUGUGGCCAGCCUACCUCAGUGGAGGACACAGUCCUGCUCUCAGUCACAGGGACCACAUACAACAGUGUGGCCAUUUUUGCUUGUGACGAAGGCUUUGUGUGGAGGAGUGGAAACCACAGCUCUGUGUGUGGAGCUGAUGGACUGUGGAGAGGACCCAGCAUGAUCUGUGAAGAGGUUGACUGUGGCUCUCCCCCUGCCCUCCCUCACUCUCAUGUGCUGUGGAAUAAGAGCUCAAGGAUGGGCACUAAGGUGUUUUAUCAGUGUAACUCUGGAUAUCAUAAUGUUGGAAAGGGCAACGUAUCCAUCUGUACUGCUGCUGGACAUUGGGAGAGACCAUCUGUGCUCUGUCAAGAAACCUUGUGUGGACGCCCUCCUAUAAUUGAAUUCACUGAGCAUGUGUGGAAUAAUAAUUCAGUCCCGGGCAGCAAGGUACUCUAUUUUUGUAAAGAAGGCUUUUAUAACAAAGGAGGACAUACUGUAUCAAUCUGUAAUGAGAACGGUCAGUGGACCCCCCCAACUCUGUCGUGCCAAGAGAUUUCAUGCGGGAAUCCUGCUAUACUGCCCCACACUGGACAAGUAUGGAAUGGCAGGUCCAAUCCUGGAAGCACAGUGACUUACUAUUGUAAAACAGGAUUUUAUCAAAAUGAAGGAGAAAACAUAUCACUAUGUACAAAAAAUGGUUAUUGGACAAAAGCCAACAUUUCAUGCAAAGUUUCCAUUCUUGUAGAAGUUGACUGUGGUGUGCCCCUUCCCAUCCCUCAUUCAGUCGUGCUAUGGAAUAAUGUCUCCACUGUGGGCUCUCAGGUGGUUUAUCAGUGUAUCUCUGGAUAUCACAAUGUUGGAGAUGGAAAUGUAUCUGUUUGCACUGCCACUGGAGAAUGGGAUGCAGCCUCUUUGCUCUGCCAAGAAAUCAACUGUCAAAAGCCUGUUUUUAAACCUCAUGCUAAAACGCUGUGGGACGGCACAUCACACAUUGGCAGUGUGGUGUAUUACCAAUGUGAGGAAGGAUAUUACACAAGGAGCCUGAGAAACUACUCUGUAUGUGGAGCAAAUGGAUUGUGGGAGGAUAUUGAUCUAUGUUGUGAAGAAAUAAGCUGUGGUACCCCUCUAAACCUCCCCCAUACUAACCUCCUGUGGGAUGGCACCAGUAGACCAGGAAGUGUGGUGCUGUAUGAGUGUAUGGAUGGAUUUUACCAGGAGAGUGGAAAUAAUGUUUCAACAUGUUUACUAUCAGCAGAGUGGGGGAAAGUAUCUGUAAAGUGCAAAGCUAAAUGUGGCCCGGUUCCCUUCCUCUCCAACUCAGAGGUGGUGUGGCACAACAGAAGCAUUGUGAUCCACCGCUGUGUGGAUGGAUAUCACAGCUGGAGGGGCAGCAACGUGUCUGUGUGUGGCAGCUCCGGGCUGUGGCAGAAAGCGACCCUGAGGUGCAUAGCUAAAUGUGGCCCGGUUCCCUUCCUCUCCAACUCAGAGGUGGUGUGGCACAACAGAAGCAUUGUGAUCCACCGCUGUGUGGAUGGAUAUCACAGCUGGAGGGGCAGCAACGUGUCUGUGUGUGGCAGCUCCGGGCUGUGGCAGAAAGCGACCCUGAGGUGCAUAGAAAUCAAGCCACCUAUCAGUGACCUCUUUGUCAUCAAUGAAAAAUGUCUGCAUUGGACAGCAGAGAAGUAUGAGGAGGACACAGAAGUUUACAAGGUGACGUACACAGGAUCCAGAGACUACCAAAGAUCCUUUGGUGAUAAAAGGAAGCGGUUCCUGAGCUCCAAGGCUGACCAGCUAGAGCUCUGUCUGAACCUGCUUCCCGUCACAAACUACAGCAUCUCAGUCACAGCAGUCACUGCUAGAUUCACAGCCACCAUCACCACCAACACUAGUUUAGCAGUACCUCCAGCACCAGUUGUCUACUACAGAGAAUUUGAGACUCCUGUACCAACGCUGAGGCUACACAGAUCACCCAACACACUGGACCCAAUAAGACACAUCAAGCCAAAUAAAGUCCUCAUCAGAGUACAUCACUGCCCAGAUCGAUGUCAGGCAUGUCGAGACAGAGAUAAACUUUACUGUGGGGGAUGGCCUCUACCAUGGGGGCUUCUUUAAUGCCCCACUGGAGAACGGCAGGAACUAUUAUAUCAUUUUACGAGCCGUCAGUCAGUGGAAAACGGUAGGUGAAACAGUAUAAAAAUGUAUUGACUUGCAAACUGUAUGAGACUUUACAAUUAAAUUAUGUGAACAUUUUCUCUAGGAUUUAAAAAGUUCCUGUGUCCUGUGGGCCAAAGUAAGAGGUAAUUUACUGGCUAAAUGACUCAAACCCCACAGUGUAAUUUAUGAAAUUUUGACUUUCGGAUUUUGGAAAAUUUUACCUAGUUGCAACAGUCUUAGUUUGUGCCAGAGGGCAACAAAUACAAAAACAUGCAAAUGUAGAAAGUACCAGUUACUCAGUCAGUAUUUCCUUGUUCCAGGAACAUCAUAUGUUCUGAGGGUUUCAUCUCUGUUUGCUGCUGCAUCAGUAGGACUGGUUGCUUUGGUCAUCUUGGGUCGAUACAGUUUCAUCUGGUUUUUCAAGAAGACAUGACACUCUUCAGUGAAAUCAGCAAUCUUGUUUUCAGUAUGACAAAAUUAAACCUUCUACCUGUACAUUUUGUAAAUUUACAGAAUAAAACUUUUUUUUUCAGAAACUA